UCUAAUAUGGCAGAAUAGUGCAUUGAAUUUAAGCUUCAAAUAUAAGAUCCCCCUUUUUUAGAA
rnacentral:tRNA from 1 species